rnacentral:lncRNA from 1 species
UUGCUAGACUCCAAGCUGACGAAGUGCACUCCACGAUCCCUGUACGCAGAAUCCAGGGAGACUGAUGCUCUGUCCACCGCUGCAACUCAAAGUAUGCAGAAUAAAUACGUAUACAUGCUCGAUCAGUAGAAGAAUAAAAUUUCCAAGACCGACUAGUAGACACGAGGAAGCAAGCAAAGGAGACACAGGCUUGGUCAGCAUCACCAGGUCACAAG